GAUGAUCAACAUGUGUCAACAAGUUACCUUGUCAAACACAUUAUUAGUCAUUUAAUCAUCCUAAGAAAAGUUUUCACCCUUCCCAAACAUCAGUUUUACGUCAACAUGAAAUAAGUAUUUAAGUGUUCCUGUUUACCGUCAGUGGUACAGCACGUUGCUUUUCCGGACAAAUCCAACAAACUGCUUCAGGUUCGAUCUGUGGAGCGAAAAGAGGUCAACCGAUAUGUCCAGACUGCUGAAGAUCAUCCUGGUGGUGGCCAUGUGUGUGCUCUUUUUAGGCACACUGCCGUUUGGCGCAGAGGCCCGCAGAAAACACCGUACAUUCAAGUUACAGCAUGGCAUCAUCCGGGCCCAGUCCAUGGGACCCAGGUGGCCGUGACUUGAUGAUACAACAAACAAGUGGGGAUGAAUAAUUAAACACAGCACAACCAAGACAAGCUGUAAAAGUUUUAAAAAAAAUGUCUUGUCAUGUCAUAGGAACAAUUCUGUUCUCCUAUACACGAAAAAUAAAAUGAAUCCAAAACAUCA